rnacentral:rRNA from 1 species
AGAGUUUGAUCCUGGCUCAGGACGAACGCUGGCGGCGCGCCUAACACAUGCAAGUCGAACGAGCGAGAGAGAGCUUGCUUUCUCAAGCGAGUGGCGAACGGGUGAGUAACGCGUGAGGAACCUGCCUCAAAGAGGGGGACAACAGUUGGAAACGACUGCUAAUACCGCAUAAGCCCACAGCUCGGCAUCGAGCAGAGGGAAAAGGAGCAAUCCGCUUUGAGAUGGCCUCGCGUCCGAUUAGCUAGUUGGUGAGGUAACGGCCCACCAAGGCGACGAUCGGUAGCCGGACUGAGAGGUUGAACGGCCACAUUGGGACUGAGACACGGCCCAGACUCCUACGGGAGGCAGCAGUGGGGAAUAUUGCACAAUGGGGGAAACCCUGAUGCAGCGACGCCGCGUGGAGGAAGAAGGUCUUCGGAUUGUAAACUCCUGUUGUUGAGGAAGAUAAUGACGGUACUCAACAAGGAAGUGACGGCUAACUACGUGCCAGCAGCCGCGGUAAAACGUAGGUCACAAGCGUUGUCCGGAAUUACUGGGUGUAAAGGGAGCGCAGGCGGGAAGGCAAGUUGGAAGUGAAAUCCAUGGGCUCAACCCAUGAACUGCUUUCAAAGCUGUUUUUCUUGAGUAGUGCAGAGUAGGGCGGAAUUCCCGGUGUAGCGGUGGAAUGCGUAGAUAUCGGGAGGAACACCAGUGGCGAAGGCGGCCUACUGAGCACCAACUGACGCUGAGGCUCGAAAGUGUGGGUAGCAAACAGGAUUAGAUACCCUGGUAGUCCACACUGUAAACGAUGAUUACUAGGUGUUGGAGGAUUGACCCCUUCAGUGCCGCAGUUAACACAAUAAGUAAUCCACCUGGGGAGUACGACCGCAAGGUUGAAACUCAAAGGAAUUGACGGGGGCCCGCACAAGCAGUGGAGUAUGUGGUUUAAUUCGACGCAACGCGAAGAACCUUACCAAGUCUUGACAUCCUGCGACGCACAUAGAAAUAUGUGUUUCCUUCGGGACGCAGAGACAGGUGGUGCAUGGUUGUCGUCAGCUCGUGUCGUGAGAUGUUAGGUUAAGUCCCGCAACGAGCGCAACCCUUAUGGUCAGUUACUACGCAAGAGGACUCUGGCCAGACUGCCGUUGACAAAACGGAGGAAGGUGGGGAUGACGUCAAAUCAUCAUGCCCUUUAUGACUUGGGCUACACACGUACUACAAUGGCGUUAAACAAAGAGAAGCAAGACCGCGAGGUGGAGCAAAACUCAGAAACAACGUCCCAGUUCGGACUGCAGGCUGCAACUCGCCUGCACGAAGUCGGAAUUGCUAGUAAUCGCAGAUCAGCAUGCUGCGGUGAAUACGUUCC